rnacentral:tRNA from 1 species
GCGCUGCUAGCUCAGUCGGAUAGAGUGUUUGGCUACGAACCAAAAGGUCGGGGGUUCGAAUCCCUCGCAGCGCGCCA